rfam:Salmo salar isolate Sally breed double haploid chromosome ssa07, whole genome shotgun sequence.
UGCAUUCACUACUGUAAGUUGCUCUGGAUAAGAGCGUCUGCUAAAAAUGACUAAAA